AACGAACGCUGGCGGCGUGGAUAAGACAUGCAAGUCGAACGGGACUUUUCCGAGUAGCAAUACCUGGAAAAGUUUAGUGGCGAACGGGUGCGUAACACGUGGGGAAUCUGCCGAGAAGUGGGGGAUAGCUCGUCGAAAGGCGAAUUAAUACCGCAUAUGAUCAGGGAAGACAUCUUUCCAACAUCAAAGCCGGGGCAACCUGGCGCUUCUUGAUGACCCCGCGGCCUAUCAGCUAGUUGGUGAGGUAACGGCCCACCAAGGCUAUGACGGGUAGCUGGUCUGAGAGGACGACCAGUCACACUGGAACUGAGACACGGUCCAGACACCUACGGGUGGCAGCAGUCGAGAAUUUUUCUCAAUGGGGGCAACCCUGAAGGAGCGACGCCGCGUGGAGGAUGAAGGCUUUCGGGCUGUAAACUCCUGUCAUUUGAGAACAAGUGUAGCCAAGUAACUACUGGCUACUUGAUAGUAUCAGAAGAGGAAGGGACGGCUAACUCCGUGCCAGCAGCCGCGGUAAUACAGAGGUCCCAAGCGUUGUUCGGAUUCAUUGGGCGUAAAGGGUGCGUAGGUGGCGUGGUAUGUCGGGUGUGAAAUUUCGGAGCUCAACUUCGAAACUGCAUUCGAUACUGCCGUGC
rnacentral:rRNA from 1 species